CUGGUGCCGGGCAAGGGCCAGCCACGCGGUCCCGAAGCCGCCUGCUUGCUUCCGAACACCGCCUCCCGGGGCCUUUCCCUCCGCAACCCGCCGCCUCUCCCUCCACGGUGGGAGCGGACGCGGCGGCCUGGGAAUGUCUGAACUGACUGCUCCGGUGACCCAGCGCCGAGACUCGGAGCACAGACCUCACACUGUGAGAGCUGGAGAGCACAAACGAAACAGCAUCAAGUUACUUCCGGGGCAGAGCAGCCCCCGCAGCUACCACGGUGACGCCCUCAGAUGCGGAAUUUCUAUGCGCCAAGCCUUUCAAAGUCUGUAGCCGUUUUAAAGCAAGAGGGAAAACCACUUUGCGAAGUAAGCAUGUUAAAUUAUAGAAGCCUAAAAUAUAAUCUAGUAUUCAGCAACACGACCAACGUGUUAAAAACAUCUUAAGAGGGGACAAACUACAGUUGCUGGUUCAACAGGAGGGAAACAUUUAUGAGACACCUGAGAUACUUGGAAGAUCCGGACUCCAGCAGAAAUUUGCACAAAUGAACACACCCAUCAACAAGGUGCCGAUUCAGAGGCCGUGCGAGGGAGGUCUGGGAACGACUCACUCCCGGCUGAAUUCUGGAAUAAAGCAGCUCGGAUCAGCCAAAGAGGUCCCGAGUGUGGCUUUUCAGAGGAGGCGUUCGCAGGCUGCCGUGAAACAAAAGUGACUCACAGUUUGCUCAAAAAUUAAGAAGCAGGACGUCUGAUGUGGAGGGCCGGUUAUUAAGCCGCCUUUACUGACGCAUUUCUUUGGGGACAGAGGCUCUAAUUCGAAACCUAAGAGAAAUCUUGCCAUCUCCAUGGGAAAGAUUGCUUAAAGGAGGCGCUGUGUCUCUCCACACACCCGCACGAUGACCGCCAUGGUGUCUGACCUGUGAGCUUCCCACGCACGUGAGCAGCCGCCACCAUCACCCCGCGUCUGUGUUCCACGCCACCCACACAGCCCCGCAGUCUCGCCCAUCUCUGCACAUGGGCAGGCCGGCAGGUAACAUGAGAUGCCAGCUCCACAGUGCAGUCUGCAUCCACAGAAGGAAAACGGGCGUUCUGCUCUUGUCUUCCUAGUAGAAUCAGCGAUGGAGGAAAAAGAAAUCCCUGGAUCCUCCUUGCUCACUGUGACAGUUUCUCUUUCAGCUGAGAAAUAAAAAAACGUAUAGUUGAAAAAAAAUCCCACUCUGCUCUUUUCUCGUGUUUACAUUUCAGGAGCUGGGAAGUUCAGGGAGGAAAAGUUUAACGCUUCAGCUGUAUCUGGUGUUGAUUGAGCACAAGGCUUUCAGGCUGUGAUUUUUUUUUUCUUGCAACAAAUAUUUGUCCCUUUAAACCAGGGUUUGCAGAGCUCAGUUCCUUGGACAUUCGUAACGAGUAGCUCUAGCUGAGGGCAGACUGUCCUGUACAUUGCAGGAUGCCAGCUUCUGCCGCCCACCAACAGCAGCCCCCACCCCCCGUGUGACAACCCACCUUGUCCCCAGACAUUGCCAAGUGUCCCUCAGGGGUGAAGUCACCCCCAGUUGAGAACAGUUGAUUUAAAUCCGUACAGUUAGCACAGCACUGACCUGAAACCAACACCUCUAGCUCCGAGAAGCCUUCCCCAGGAUUUUGGCAUUUCCUCCUGUGCCUGGUGGUUCAGAGGAGAUGAGUGGAGGUAUUUUUGUAGCAUGCAGUCCACAUGUUGGAACAACCGCUUCAGGAUGUGGGUGCAAGCUGACCUCUGGUCAGUUAACUUUUAAACUGCACACAUAUUAACUGACUUCUAGAGUGUACACUCCCUGGAGGAGGAAAUGACAACCCACUCCAGUGUUCUUGCCUGGAGAAUCCCAUGGACAGAGGAGUCUAGCGGGCUGCAGUCCAUGGGGUCACACGUAGUGGGAUACGACUGAAGCAACUCAGAACACACACAGUGUCUACGCUCAACUUCAGUCGAGUGGAAAUCACAUGCGUCCUCCAUCGAGAUGCAAAAGGAAAUCACGAGGCUGAGUCUAUAAUCCCGUUGGUCUGUUUUGGAAAAGCUCAGCUGAGCUCCACGCUCUGGCGUUGGUGUUUACCCCAGAAGGGACUGAAGAGGCAGUGCCCAGGAUGCCAGGAAGGACACUGGCGUGGUUUGAAACAAGGGGUGUUUGCGGUGGUGCUGGUGGUAAAGAACCCGCCUGCCGACGCAGGAGACGCAGGAGAUGUGGGUCCAGCCCCUGGGUGGGGAGGUUGCCCUGGAGAGGCAAAUGGCAGCCCACUCCAGUGCUCUUGCUGGAGAAUCCCCCAGACAGAGGAGCCUGGCGGCUCCGGUGCGUGGGGUCGCAGAGUCAGACACGGCUGAGUGAGCACACACGCAGUGUGGGCCUUGGUUGUGACACGCGGCCCGCGUAGAGUGUAAGCCUCACAGGGCGUGUGUACUGAGCUGUCACCGCAGCGACACAUUCCAUACGCAGACAAGCCCAGGUCAUUUCACGGCUGUGCCUGGGAUGCUGUUACUGCUUCAGAGUUGAAGCUCACUGUCUCCAUGAGGAUGGGGACGUGCUGGCCAUUCCCCCCGGGGGUCAGUCCUGCAUGACCCCCUCAGUGCACAGGCCGAGCAGCGGCUUCGGGCUCCAGGAGCGUGGGUUCUGCCCACCUGGGGGCAUUUUGGGGUGCUGGGGCACGGCCCCCGCAUCUGAAGGCAGCCCUCCUCAGCCUCUGCCCCAAUCUGGCAGCCCUGGGCCCACCUGUCCGUGGGCCUCGACUUACGGACCUUCCUGCGCAGGGCCUCAGAGGAUGAAAGCCCAGACCGCCCCUGGUUUCUGGCAGAAGGACUCCCAGAUGCGCCUGCGGGCUCGGACCCUCUGAGACCAGGGCGCGCGUGCCCUUCACCGCCUGCCCGUCAGUUCUGGCUCUGGCGCGUGAAUCGCAGCU
ensembl:lncRNA